UACAGAGGGGGCAAGCGUUGUUCGGAAUUACUGGGCGUAAAGGGCGCGUAGGCGGCCUGUUAAGUCGAACGUGAAAUCCCCGGGCUCAACCCGGGAACUGCGUCCGAUACUGGCAGGCUUGAAUCCGGGAGAGGGAUGCGGAAUUCCAGGUGUAGCGGUGAAAUGCGUAGAUAUCUGGAGGAACACCGGUGGCGAAGGCGGCCUUCUGGACGGUAACUGACGCUGAGACGCGAAAGCGUGGGGAGCAAACAGG
rnacentral:rRNA from 1 species